rnacentral:rRNA from 1 species
UACGGUAGGGGGCAAGCGUUGUCCGGAAUCAUUGGGCGUAAAGCGCGUGUAGGCGGCUGGCUAAGUCCGCUCUGAAAGCCCGGGGCUCAACCCCGGGAGGCGGGUGGAUACUGGUCAGCUCGAGUCCGGAAGAGGAGUGUGGAAUUCCUGGUGUAGCGGUGAAAUGCGCAGAUAUCAGGAGGAACACCAAUGGCGAAGGCAGCACUCUGGGACGGUACUGACGCUGAGACGCGAAAGCGUGGGGGAGCAAACAGG